rnacentral:rRNA from 1 species
GACGAACGCUGGCGGCGUGCUUAACACAUGCAAGUCGAGCGGUAAGGCCCUUCGGGGUACACGAGCGGCGAACGGGUGAGUAACACGUGGGUGAUCUGCCUCGUACUCUGGGAUAAGCCUGGGAAACUGGGUCUAAUACCGGAUAUGACCACGAGUCGCAUGGUUUGUGGUGGAAAGAUUUAUCGGUGCGAGAUGGGCCCGCGGCCUAUCAGCUUGUUGGUGGGGUAAUGGCCUACCAAGGCGACGACGGGUAGCCGGCCUGAGAGGGCGACCGGCCACACUGGGACUGAGACACGGCCCAGACUCCUACGGGAGGCAGCAGUGGGGAAUAUUGCACAAUGGGCGGAAGCCUGAUGCAGCGACGCCGCGUGCGGGAUGACGGCCUUCGGGUUGUAAACCGCUUUCGACAGGGACGAAGCGUGAGUGACGGUACCUGUAGAAGAAGCACCGGCCAACUACGUGCCAGCAGCCGCGG